UACGUAGGCAGCGAGCGUUGUUCGGAGUUACUGGGCGUAAAGGGUGUGUAGGCGGCUCUCUAAGUUUGGUGUGAAAUCUCCCGGCUCAACCGGGAGGGUGCGCCGAAUACUGAAGGGCUAGAGUGCGGGAGAGGAAAGUGGAAUUCCUGGUGUAGCGGUGAAAUGCGUAGAUAUCAGGAGGAACACCGGUGGUGUAGACGGCUUUCUGGACCGUAACUGACGCUGAGACACGAAAGCGUGGGUAGCAAACAGG
rnacentral:rRNA from 1 species